CAGCGCAGUUGUAAAAGUUCUUAUUUUCUGGGUGCUAAUCUGCUAAAUAGUAAAUUUUGGGGCCUGCUCUUCAUAUCCGAGAGUCAAAUAGAAAUGUUUAAUUGUGCGCUUACAGCGCAGUUGUAAACAUUCUAAUUGUUUUGGUGCCAAACUACUAAAUAGUACAUUUUGGGGCCUGCUCUUCAUAUCUGUGAGUCAAAUAGAAGCGUCAAAUUCUGCGGUUACAGCGCAAUUGUAAACAUUCCAAUUGUUUUGCUGCUAAACUGCUAAAUAGUACAUUUUGGGCGUGCUCUUCA